CUUUGUCAUGUCAUGGUGUCAUAUUUGCCCAAGUAAUCAUUUUCCGAGCAAAUAUGUGGCGACAUCAUGGAGGUAAAGCUCACUUAUUCCAUCAUUAAACUGCACAGCUGCAGUACUACAGCCAGGCCCGCAGAUGAGGGGCUUCAGUUACCACUGUCUGCACGGGCGCAGUACCUACUCUCUGCCUGCGGGGGUCGUCUUUCCCCACCGCUCGUCUAGUGUGUCCGAAUUGGGCCAACGUGUUUAGUAUGUAGGAGUAGGAUCUAGCAGUAGCACGUAGCAGUAGCAUGUAGUAUCCGAGCGGGCAGUUCGGACGCAGCACGAGUCA